rnacentral:rRNA from 1 species
AGCAGCCGCGGUAAUUCCAGCUCCAAUAGCGUAUAUUAAAGUUGUUGCAGUUAAAAAGCUCGUAGUUGAAUUUCGGGAUUGGCGUACCGGUCGUGUCUUCGGGCAUGUACUGGUAAUGUUAAUCUCCACCUUCUAGUGAACUAUUAUGUCUUUAACUAGGUGUAAUAGGGAGCUAGGACUGUUACUUUGAAAAAAUUAGAGUGUUUAAAGCAGGCUUUAUGCUUGAAUAGAUUAGCAUGGAAUAACGAAAUAGGACGGCAUGAUUCUAUUUUGUUGGUUUCUAGGAUCACCGUAAUGAUUAAUAGGGAUAGUUGGGGGCAUUAGUAUUCAAUUGUCAGAGGUGAAAUUCUUGGAUUUAUUGAAGACUAACUACUGCGAAAGCAUUUGCCAAGGAUGUUUUCAUUAAUCAAGAACGAAAGUUAGGGGAUCGAAGACGAUCAGAUACCGUCG